UUUGGGACUUUCUAGAUCACAUUUAUACAAGGCUUUUCAUGAAUUCAAGAGAUCUUCAUCUACAGAGUUGUUCAAAAUAGUGUAAACAGUUUGGUUUCCACCUUUUGCUGGCUAAAGGUGUUGGAACAAAUCUUCAAACAUGUCCUUCUAUGGUUGCUAAUAAUUUUUCAAGAAAAGGGGAUUCUUUGUCAGGAAGCAAAAGAUUGAGCAACAGAGAAAAGAUUUGACCAAAUGCUGCAGGUGAUACUGGACACACAUAUUUUCGAGAUAUCGGUUACUAUACCUGGAAUUAAGAAUGUUAUUGAUCCUGGACUGGUGAAAGUGUGAAUGACAUGCUUAUAUAUUUGUGCAAACUUGCUCCAUCCGGGGUAUAUACCUCCUUCAACUCAUCAACAUAGUCGUGUAGCAGUUUACAAGCUAUUGCCUUCUACUGGAGGAUACUUGUUUUUAUACCAAUCCUUAAAUCCCCGUGUUAUAGUCUCCAUUCUCGAGAAUGGAGACUGUAACACUCGGGGGUCUAAGGAUUGUAUAGAAACAAGUGUGCUAGAGGAGAAGGUAUAGCUUGUAAAAGGCUACGCAGCUAUGUGGAUGAAUUGAAGGAGGGUUUGUACCCAUGGAUUGACCAAGUUUGCAUAAAUAUACGUGCAUGUAUUUCGUACAAGCUAUUGAUUUCCCAUAUUCUCAUCACUUCCCUCUCAGAAGCAAAUGAAGGUUUUCAUCCCUUCACCCGCAGGAUAUCGUAAGGUAUGGUGUUGAAACUGUUUAAGUUUCAACUCGGGACGAGCUCUAUCCACUGUCUCCAGUGUUGAACGACGAUAUAAAGGAGAAGAAUGCUACUCUAUAAUCGGUAGAGAGUGCUUUUCCCCUCGUGAUUCGGAUUAGUUGGGCUAGUAGGUUUCAGAUACACUGAUUCUAAUUCAUAAGAGUGACUCAAAUCCUAGCCAAGGUAAACAACAUUCGGUGAUUUCUUCUCAUCUGUCAAGUCUUGAUUGGGCAAAAUUACUCGACAUCUGUAUUGGUGGAAGUUAGCAAGUAUAAGAUGAAAUUAGUCGAGUUGUGCUCAAACUGGCUUGACACCAAGGUCAUUCAUUAGAAAAAUAGCAAUAUGCAAAAUGUAAAGAUUGUAUCUUUUUUUUUUGUUUCUGUAUUUUUUUUUUU